UACGUAGGGUGCGAGCGUUAAUCGGAAUUACUGGGCGUAAAGCGUGCGCAGGCGGUUUUGUAAGACAGAUGUGAAAUCCCCGGGCUUAACCUGGGAACUGCAUUUGUGACUGCAAGACUAGAGUGCGGCAGAGGGGGGUAGAAUUCCACGUGUAGCAGUGAAAUGCGUAGAUAUGCGGAGGAACACCGAUGGCGAAGGCAAUCCCCUGGGCCUGCACUGACGCUCAUGCACGAAAGCGUGGGGAGCAAACAGG
rnacentral:rRNA from 1 species